rnacentral:tRNA from 1 species
GGGCCUAUGGUAUAGUAGUAACACGCGACCAUGGCAUGGUCGAGUCGCGAGUGCGAUUCUCGCUAGGUCCACCA